AAGCGUUAUCCGGAAUUAUUGGGCGUAAAGCGUCCGUACGUGGUUAUUCAAGUCUGCUGUCAAAGCGUGGGGCUUAACUCCAUAGAGGCAGUGGAAACUGGAUGACUUGAGUGCGGUAGGGGUCGAGGGAAUUCCCCAAUGUAGCGGUGAAAUGCGUAGAUCUUGGGAAGAACACCAGUGGCGAAAGCGCUCGACUGGGCCUGCACUGACACUGAGGGACGAAAGCUAGGGGAGCGAAAGGGAUUAGAUACCCCUGUAGUCCUAGCCGUAAACGAUGGAUACUAGGUGUUGCUCGUCAUCGACCCGAGCAGUGCCGUAGCCAACGCGUUAAGUAUCCCGCCUGGGGAGUACGCUCGCAAGAGUGANACUCAAAGGAAUUGACGGGGGCCCGCACAAGCGGUGGAGUAUGUGGUUUAAUUCGAUGCAACGCGAAGAACCUUACCAGGGCUUGACAUGUCCGGAACAUUGCCGAAAGGUAAGGGUGCAUACGGGAACCGGAGCACAGGUGGUGCAUGGCUGUCGUCAGCUCGUGUCGUGAGAUGUUGGGUUAAGUCCCGCAACGAGCGCAACCCACGUUCUUAGUUGCCAGCAUUCAGUUGGGCACUCUAGGGAGACUGCCGGUGACAAACCGGAGGAAGGUGUGGAUGACGUCAAGUCAGCAUGCCCAUUACGUCCUGGGCUACACACGUACUACA
rnacentral:rRNA from 1 species